CUAACCUAAAGCAUGUGAUUUGGGACAUUUUUUGAUGUGGCAAGCUUUGGUGAAGGUGGAUUUUGAGUUUAGGAGGGAAUCCAUCUCAAUUCUCUAUACAUAAACCAAAAUUCUCAAAACACAAAACAAAAAAGUGUGGGACGCGGGAUCCGGCUGAGGAUUUGGGUCACCCAAUAUUAAAAAAAUGGAUCCCUUAUAUUUUUUAAAAGGCUUUCUUCCUUGACACAAUUCCAUGUUUUCACAAACCCUAGAUCUGAAGCUCCUGUUUCUCUCUUCUUUGACAAGCGAUUCCAAAACAAUCUAAACAAGGGUGUCUUGCACAUCAUCAAGAAGAAAUUCUUAGGGAUUUUAAUUCUUCCACUACAAGGUGUAACCGGUGGCGGCUUACAAAUAAGAUCAUUCCACAUAAUUUGCAGAUUGAACAUGUUAUAGGUAAAUUUAAUCAAGAAUCUAUAAAAAGAUCUAAGGUAAAA